AUUGAACGCUGGCGGAAUGCUUUACACAUGCAAGUCGAACGGCAGCACGGACUUCGGUCUGGUGGCGAGUGGCGAACGGGUGAGUAAUGUAUCGGAACGUGCUCAGUCGUGGGGGAUAACGUAGUGAAAAUUACGCUAAUACCGCAUACGAUCUAUGGAGGAAAGCGGGGGACCGUAAGGCCUCGCGCGAUUGGAGCGGCCGAUAUCAGAUUAGGUAGUUGGUGGGGUAAAGGCUCACCAAGCCGACGAUCUGUAGCUGGUCUGAGAGGACGACCAGCCACACUGGAACUGAGACACGGUCCAGACUCCUACGGGAGGCAGCAGUGGGGAAUUUUGGACAAUGGGCGCAAGCCUGAUCCAGCCAUUCCGCGUGCAGGAUGAAGGCCCUCGGGUUGUAAACUGCUUUUGUACGGAACGAAAAGGCUCUGGUUAAUACCUGGGGCUCAUGACGGUACCGUAAGAAUAAGCACCGGCUAACUACGUGCCAGCCGCCGCAGUAA
rnacentral:rRNA from 1 species